rnacentral:rRNA from 1 species
CCUAGGGGCGCAGCAGUGAGGAAUAUUGGUCAAUGGGCGGAAGCCUGAACCAGCCAAGUCGCGUGAGGGAAUAAGGCCCUACGGGUCGUAAACCUCUUUUGCCGGGGAGCAAGGGCCGGGACGCGUCCCGGCCCGGAGAGUACCCGGAGAAAAAGCAUCGGCUAACUCCGUGCCAGCAGCCGCGGUAAUACGGAGGUCUCAAGCGUUGUUCGGAAUCACUGGGCGUAAAGCGUGCGUAGGCUGUUUCGUAAGUCGUGUGUGAAAGGCGCGGGCUCAACCCGCGGACGGCACAUGAUACUGCGAGA